UACGUAGGGGGCUAGCGUUGUCCGGAAUCAUUGGGCGUAAAGAGCGUGUAGGCGGUCCGGUAAGUUCCGCUGUGAAAGUCCGGGGCUCAACUCCGGAAUCUGCGGUGGGUACGGGCAGACUAGAGUGAUGUAGGGGAGACUGGGAAUUCCUGGUGUAGCGGUGAAAUGACGCAGAUAUCAGGAGGAACACCGAUGGCGAAGGCAGGUCUCUGGGCCGAUACUGACGCUGAGGAGCGAAAGCGUGGGGAGCAAACAGG
rnacentral:rRNA from 1 species